rnacentral:rRNA from 1 species
UACGUAGGGCGCAAGCGUUGUCCGGAAUUAUUGGGCGUAAAGAGCUCGUAGGCGGUUUGUCGCGUCUGCUGUGAAAACCUAAGGCUCAACCUUGGGCUUGCAGUGGGUACGGGCAGACUAGAGUGCGGUAGGGGUGACUGGAAUUCCUGGUGUAGCGGUGGAAUGCGCAGAUAUCAGGAGGAACACCGAUGGCGAAGGCAGGUCACUGGGCCGAUAUUGACGCUGAGGAGCGAAAGCGUGGGGAGCGAACAGG